rnacentral:lncRNA from 1 species
CCAGCCGCGCCCGUGGACAGCCCCGCACGCGCGCGCACACACACCAGCGACCGGCCCAACAAGGCGCACAUGGGCGUACCGCCGAUUCAGGGACCGCGGCGUCGUCGGCCGCCGAGGUCCCGCGCGUCCGCGCCGAGGCCCGGCAGAGUCGACACAUGGACGCAAUGGCAUCGCGCGUGGGCGUCGUGGUGGGCAGACGUCCCCCACUCGGCCGAUGCGAUACCGAUGGCCGCCACUGCACCGGCACCCCGUCCGACGGACGCACAAGACUCGGGAGAUGCCGAUGGGCGCCGUGUCUCUUUCUUUUUCUGAGAAUUCUUUUUUUGUCCUUUCUUUUUUUUGGCCACCAAAGAAUCGCGUUGUUGUCGGCACUUGCGCGCAAGGACCCGCGAACCGGGGCCGCAGAGAAAAAAAAGGCCAAACCACAAAAGGCCCCUCACCACGUCGAGAGUGCCGCCCUUUUUUCUGUUUCCAUCUGGUGUGCGUCCCUGUCUCUUUUCGCUGCAUGAGUCUUUUCUUCUUUGUCG